rnacentral:tRNA from 1 species
UCCCUGGUGGUCCAGUGGUUAAGACACCAUGCUUCCACUUUAGGGGGCACAGGUUUGAUCCCUGAUCAGGGAA